GCAGUCGAGCGGACAGAUGGGAGCUUGCUCCCUGAUGUUAGCGGCGGACGGGUGAGUAACACGUGGGUAACCUGCCUGUAAGACUGGGAUAACUCCGGGAAACCGGGGCUAAUACCGGAUGGUUGUUUGAACCGCAUGGUUCAAACAUAAAAGGUGGCUUCGGCUACCACUUACAGAUGGACCCGCGGCGCAUUAGCUAGUUGGUGAGGUAAUGGCUCACCAAGGCAACGAUGCGUAGCCGACCUGAGAGGGUGAUCGGCCACACUGGGACUGAGACACGGCCCACACUCCUACGGGAGGCAGCAGUAGGGAAUCUUCCGCAAUGGACGAAAGUCUGACGGAGCAACGCCGCGUGAGUGAUGAAGGUUUUCGGAUCGUAAAGCUCUGUUGUUAGGGAAGAACAAGUACCGUUCGAAUAGGGCGGUACCUUGACGGUACCUAACCAGAAAGCCACGGCUAACUACGUGCCAGCAGCCGCGGUAAUACGUAGGUGGCAAGCGUUGUCCGGAAUUAUUGGGCGUAAAGGGCUCGCAGGCGGUUUCUUAAGUCUGAUGUGAAAGCCCCCGGCUCAACCGGGGAGGGUCAUUGGAAACUGGGGAACUUGAGUGCAGAAGAGGAGAGUGGAAUUCCACGUGUAGCGGUGAAAUGCGUAGAGAUGUGGAGGAACACCAGUGGCGAAGGCGACUCUCUGGUCUGUAACUGACGCUGAGGAGCGAAAGCGUGGGGAGCGAACAGGAUUAGAUACCCUGGUAGUCCACGCCGUAAACGAUGAGUGCUAAGUGUUAGGGGGUUUCCGCCCCUUAGUGCUGCAGCUAACGCAUUAAGCACUCCGCCUGGGGAGUACGGUCGCAAGACUGAAACUCAAAGGAAUUGACGGGGGCCCGCACAAGCGGUGGAGCAUGUGGUUUAAUUCGAAGCAACGCGAAGAACCUUACCAGGUCUUGACAUCCUCUGACAAUCCUAGAGAUAGGACGUCCCCUUCGGGGGCAGAGUGACAGGUGGUGCAUGGUUGUCGUCAGCUCGUGUCGUGAGAUGUUGGGUUAAGUCCCGCAACGAGCGCAACCCUUGAUCUUAGUUGCCAGCAUUCAGUUGGGCACUCUAAGGUGACUGCCGGUGACAAACCGGAGGAAGGUGGGGAUGACGUCAAAUCAUCAUGCCCCUUAUGACCUGGGCUACACACGUGCUACAAUGGACAGAACAAAGGGCAGCGAAACCGCGAGGUUAAGCCAAUCCCACAAAUCUGUUCUCAGUUCGGAUCGCAGUCUGCAACUCGACUGCGUGAAGCUGGAAUCGCUAGUAAUCGCGGAUCAGCAUGCCGCGGUGAAUACGUUCCCGGGCCUUGUACACACCGCCCGUCACACCACGAGAGUUUGUAACACCCGAAGUCGGUGAGGUAAC
rnacentral:rRNA from 1 species